rnacentral:rRNA from 1 species
UACGUAGGGUGCAAGCGUUGUCCGGAAUCAUUGGGCGUAAAGCGCGCGUAGGCGGCCCGAUAAGUCCGCUGUAAAAGUCAACGGCUCAACUGGGGGGCGUCGUGCGAUACGGUCGGACUGGAGGCCAGUAGGGGGAUGCGGAAUUCCGGGUGUAGUGGUGGAAUGCGUAGAGAUCCGGAGGAACACCAGCGGCGAAGGCGGCAUCCUGGACUGGUCCUGACACUCAGGAGCGAAAGCGUGGGGAGCGAGCCGG